UUACUCUCUGCCCAUUACUAGUAGCAAGGUUGCGGAGGAAGCGUGGGAAAGAGUGGCGUAAGAUAGCUCACAUUCCCUCCAUAAUUAUUGAUGGUGAAUUGAUCACAUAAGUAUCCUGUCCGGGUUUGUCUCUGAAAUACUUCUUUUCUGUUUCUUCCUUAUUAUGUCAUCAUUAACUAUUAUUGUUAAUUUCAUCAGCAACAUCAAAAUACAAUAUUAUAACACUAACACUAACCGUUUUUUUUUAAUUGCAGAGUUAUAUUCUGUGUCACACCUGCUUCUGCCCAACCUUGCUAUUGUGAGAAGCUAAAAUCGCAUGCACCACCUGCAACCCAGUUGAUGUUUUACCUAUGCGGAACAGAUGAAAAGGAGAAACAACAAGUGACUUCAAAUAUAUUAGGUAGUCUUUUCGUAUAUAUCAUUGUAUAUAUUUUAAUGAGUUGGUUUUAAUGCAUUGGUUUGGUUGUAUCAAUUUUUGUGACAUG
rnacentral:lncRNA from 1 species